rnacentral:rRNA from 1 species
AGAUUGAACGCUAGCGGGAUGGCUUUAACGACAUGCAAGUCGAACGGCAGCGCGGACUUCGGUCUGGCGGCGAGUGGCGAACGGGUGAGUAAUAUAUCGGAACGUGCCCAGUAGCGGGGGAUAACUACGCGAAAGCGUGGCUAAUACCGCAUACGCCUACGGGGGAAAGGGGGGAUCGCAAGACCUCUCACUAUUGGAGCGGCCGAUAUCAGAUUAGCUAGUUGGUGAGGUAAAGGCUCACCAAGGCGACGAUCUGUAGCUGGUUUGAGAGGACGACCAGCCACACUGGGACUGAGACACGGCCCAGACUCCUACGGGAGCANCAGUGGGGAAUUUUGGACAAUGGGGGAAACCUGAUCCAGCCAUCCCGCGUGUGCGAUGAAAGGCCCUGGUUGUAAGUACGUAC